GACGAACGCUGGCGGCGUGCUUAACACAUGCAAGUCGAACGGAAAGGCCCUGCUUUUGUGGGGUGCUCGAGUGGCGAACGGGUGAGUAACACGUGAGUAACCUGCCCUUGACUUUGGGAUAACUUCAGGAAACUGGGGCUAAUACCGGAUAGGAGCUCCUGCUGCAUGGUGGGGGUUGGAAAGUUUCGGCGGUUGGGGAUGGACUCGCGGCUUAUCAGCUUGUUGGUGGGGUAGUGGCUUACCAAGGCUUUGACGGGUAGCCGGCCUGAGAGGGUGACCGGCCACAUUGGGAUUGAGAUACGGCCCAGACUCCUACGGGAGGCAGCAGUGGGGAAUAUUGCACAAUGGGCGGAAGCCUGAUGCAGCAACGCCGCAUGCGGGAUGACGGCCUUCGGGUUGUAAACCGCUUUCGCCUGUGACGAAGCGUGAGUGACGGUAAUGGGUAAAGAAGCACCGGCUAACUACGUG
rnacentral:rRNA from 1 species